rnacentral:rRNA from 1 species
AGCUUGCUUCUCUGAUGUUAGCGGCGGACGGGUGAGUAACACGUGGAUAACUUACCUAUAAGACUGGGAUAACUUCGGGAAACCGGAGCUAAUACCGGAUAAUAUUUUGAACCGCAUGGUUCAAAAGUGAAAGACGGUCUUGCUGUCACUUAUAGAUGGAUCCGCGCUGCAUUAGCUAGUUGGUAAGGUAACGGCUUACCAAGGCAACGAUGCAUAGCCGACCUGAGAGGGUGAUCGGCCACACUGGAACUGAGACACGGUCCAGACUCCUACGGGAGGCAGCAGUAGGGAAUCUUCCGCAAUGGGCGAAAGCCUGACGGAGCAACGCCGCGUGAGUGAUGAAGGUCUUCGGAUCGUAAAACUCUGUUAUUAGGGAAGAACAUAUGUGUAAGUAACUGUGCACAUCUUGACGGUACCUAAUCAGAAAGCCACGGCUAACUACGUGCCAGCAGCCGCGGUAAUACGUAGGUGGCAAGCGUUAUCCGGAAUUAUUGGGCGUAAAGCGCGCGUAGGCGGUUUUUUAAGUCUGAUGUGAAAGCCCACGGCUCAACCGUGGAGGGUCAUUGGAAACUGGAAAACUUGAGUGCAGAAGAGGAAAGUGGAAUUCCAUGUGUAGCGGUGAAAUGCGCAGAGAUAUGGAGGAACACCAGUGGCGAAGGCGACUUUCUGGUCUGUAACUGACGCUGAUGUGCGAAAGCGUGGGGAUCAAACAGGAUUAGAUACCCUGGUAGUCCACGCCGUAAACGAUGAGUGCUAAGUGUUAGGGGGUUUCCGCCCCUUAGUGCUGCAGCUAA